UGGAGAGUCCACACUGCAGACUGGAGACUCUGAGCUGGAGGUGAUCUCUGUCAGAGUGUGAGUGAUGAGAAAGGUGGAGGUGUUGAGAGAGGAUCAGCUGUGUCCUGAUGAUCCAGAGAGGUUGAAGCAGCAGCAUCAGCUUGUGUGUGGAGAGGCUCUGACUGGGCCAUGUUACUGGGAGGUAGAGUGGAGAGGAGAGCUUCAUCCAGCAGUGACUGACAGAGGAAUCCCAACAGUGCUGCAGUCUGAACUGCUCUGAGAUCAGCUCCACUGUCAGACACAAAGUCAAGUCCACCAUCCUCCCUGUGUGUUCCUCUGGAUGUGACAGAGUAUCAUCAGUGGAUCUGAACUGCUCUGCUGCUGCUCUGUCCUUCUACACAGUCUCUGCAGACACACUGAGACUCCUCCACUCCUUCUGCUGCACACUCAGCCACCUCCUCCACCUGGACCUCCACCUGGACCUGAUUCUGUCUGUUUAAUUCAUUCAGAUGUUCUGAACCCAAAGAGCCUCUGCACAUUAGUUCUGUUUCUGACAACAGAACUGCAGAUUAACAAUUAUUUAAAUUGACUUUUCUGCUUUGCUUUCUGUUGCAGCUCCACCUUGUGGAUUGAUGAAGAAUUGCAAUUAAUUUCCACGUUAUGUUUCUGACACAUUUUGAAAACAUUAUAAAAAUGGCCAAUAAAUAUAUAAAUGAAUAAUCAGAAAAUAUAAUAAAUACAACAAUCCUGAAUAAUAUAUAUAAACAUUAUUAUUUGUUUAUUUUAUACGAAGUCCGUCAACUUUAGAUCCUUGUUAACAUCAAUCUUCAAACUCUCCAUAUUGAGUCAUAUAUUGUUUGAAGCUUGUUUUCUAGCGCACGUUAGCUGGUCCAAAUAUGGCCAAUAUCUAUAAGAGAUGAGUUCAUGUGACAAAAUGUAAUUUUUAUGCUCAGUGUGUUGUUGUUGCUUUACUAAUCUUAAACAGAUGUUUUCUCAAAAUUACGUUUCCUGUACGCCAAGUCAUUUUUCUUAUAGCAAAAUAUAUUUUAUAAUUCUCAUUUUAUCUGGAAAUAUGUAGAAUAAAAGGCUCCGUCCCACAGAUGAGUGGUGUUGCAGCCGACUGUCGAUAAAGGGAAAACAAGCCGUGAGAGGCUGAACAUGGAGAAAACUGAUGAGACUCCACCACAUUUCUAACCAUCCGUUUAUUUUCUAUUUCACAACGAUGCACAACAGUUCCACUUAACAGCUGUUUCCAUACGUCUGUGCAAAGAAAAGGCCGGAGCACAAGACAAGUCAACAUGCACCAUUAAAGAUCUAAAAUGACCCUACCCCCAUGAUCACUGCAGCCAGGUGAGGUGAACAGGUGAGUGCACCUGCUUCUAACUGCGUCCUACACACCCAGAUACACACCCACCACCCAAGUGCCAAUCAAGUGUGCAAAUACAAAUCAAGGACAUGAAGAUGCAAAAACUUCCAACUGUGGCUCCUACAGGUGGUUUAUUUUGAAUAAAUCCAUGUAAAAACUAUAUUUUGAUAAAGCGUUCUGUAAAUGUCUGAACAUUUGGUUUAUUAUCACAAUAAAACAACAAAAAUCCA